GACGAACGCUGGCGGCGUGCCUAAUACAUGCAAGUAGGACGCAGUUGCGAACGGGUGAGUAACGCGUAGGUAACUACCUAUUAGAGGGGGAUAACUAUUGGCAACGAUAGCUAAUACCGCCUACUAGUAGAUGGACCUGCGUUGUAUUAGCUAGUAGGUAGGGUAAUGGCCUACCUAGGCAACGGUACAUAGCCGACCCGAGGGGGUGAUCGGACACACUGGGACUGGUACACGGCCCAGACUCCUACGGGAGGCAGCAGGAGGGAAUCUUCGGCAAUUGGGGGAAACCUGGACGAGCAACGCCGCGGGAGUGAAGAAGGUUUUCGGAUCGUAAAGCUCUGUUGUUAAGGAAGCGGUACUUAACCAGAAAGGGACGGCUAACUACGUGCCAGCAGCCGCGGUAAUUC
rnacentral:rRNA from 1 species